rnacentral:rRNA from 1 species
ACCUCAUAAGUUAGACGAUAAGAGGUACCAUCUAUGAUUUCAAUUAUUAAAGCUUUGAUCUUCUCCUAAUGGAGGAGUUACAGGUUAAUGAUAACUGAUAAAUAGAGGGUGGCACAGAAUCGGAGGCCCCGACUGUUUACUAAAAACACAACACAGUGCAAUCAUUAAUGUGGUAGUAUACUGUGUGAAAUUUGCCCAAUGCCAUUAAUAUAAAAGCGGUCAUGGGAAACUGUGACUAAUUGAAAAUCUGGUUAAUAGCGGUCUUAACCAUGAGGAUCCUAAGGUAGCAAAAUAAAUUGGCCAUUAAAUGUGGUCCGGUAUCAAUAAUGUAACGAUGGCCUCACUGUCUCUACAACUUGCUCAGUGAAAUUGAAUUACGCGUGCAGAUGCGCGUUACCUCCAGUGGGACGGGAAGACCCUAUGCAGCUUCU